rnacentral:rRNA from 1 species
UGGGGAAUAUUGCACAAUGGGCGAAAGCCUGAUGCAGCGACGUCGCGUGAGGGAUGACGGCCUUCGGGUUGUAAACCUCUUUCAGCAGGGACGAAGCGCAAGUGACGGUACCUGCAGAAGAAGCACCGGCUAACUACGUGCCAGCAGCCGCGGUAAUACGUAGGGUGCAAGCGUUGUCCGGAAUUACUGGGCGUAAAGAGUUCGUAGGCGGUUUGUCGCGUCGUUUGUGAAAACCAGCAGCUCAACUGCUGGCUUGCAGGCGAUACGGGAAGACUUGAGUACUGCAGGGGAGACUGGAAUUCCUGGUGUAGCGGUGAAAUGCGCAGAUAUCAGGAGGAACACCGGUGGCGAAGGCGGGUCUCUGGGCAGUAACUGACGCUGAGGAACGAAAGCGUGGGUAGCGAACAGG